GUGAAUCAUCGAAUCUUUGAACGCAAAUUGCACUCUCUUCGGAGAGUAUGCCUGUUUGAGGGUCAGCCUAAAAAAAAAAUCGACAUAGUCGCUUUUUCGCGGUUACAUUCGUCGGAAAUUGGGUCAUUUUAAACCUUUGGGUUUUAAUCGGCUUAAAUUUUUUUUUACUAUUCCACGAACUUUUCUAAGAUUUCUUUCUUAUACGUUUAAGGUAU
rnacentral:misc_RNA from 1 species